AGUGAGCGCUGGCGGUAGGCCUAACACAUGCAAGUCGAACGGCAGCACAGUAAGAGCUUGCUCUUACGGGUGGCGAGUGGCGGACGGGUGAGGAAUACAUCGGAAUCUACUUUUUCGUGGGGGAUAACGUAGGGAAACUUACGCUAAUACCGCAUACGACCUACGGGUGAAAGCAGGGGAUCUUCGGACCUUGCGCGAUUGAAUGAGCCGAUGUCGGAUUAGCUAGUUGGCGGGGGAAAGGCCUACCAAGGCGAGGAUCCGUAGCUGGUCGGAGAGGACGAUCAGCCACCCUGGAACUGAGAAACGGUCCAGACUCCUACGGGAGGCAGCAGUGGGGAAUAUUGGACAAUGGGCGCAAGCCUGAUCCAGCCAUACCGCGUGGGUGAAGAAGGCCUUCGGGUUGUAAAGCCCUUUUGUUGGGAAAGAAAAGCAGCAGGUUAAUACCCCGCUGUUCUGACGGUACCCAAAGAAUAAGCACCGGCUAACUUCGUG
rnacentral:rRNA from 1 species